rnacentral:rRNA from 2 species
UAUUGGGCGUAAAGCGAGCGCAGGCCGGUUGCUUAGGUCUGAUGUGAAAGCCUUCGGCUUAACCGAAGAAAGUGCAUCGGAAACCGGGCGACUUGAGUGCAGAAGAGGACAGUGGAACUCCAUGUGUAGCGGUGGAAUGCGUAGAUAUAUGGAAGAACACCAGUGGCGAAGGCGGCUGUCUGGUCUGCAACUGACGCUGAGGCUCGAAAGCAUGGGUAGCGAACAGGAUUAGAUACCCUGGUAGUCCAUGCCGUAAACGAUGAGUGCUAGGUGUUGGAGGGUUUCCGCCCUUCAGUGCCGGAGCUAACGCAUUAAGCACUCCGCCUGGGGAGUACGACCGCAAGGUUGAAACUCAAAGGAAUUGACGGGGGCCCGCACAAGCGGUGGAGCAUGUGGUUUAAUUCGAAGCUACGCGAAGAACCUUACCAGGUCUUGACAUCUUGCGCUAACCUUAGAGAUAAGGCGUUCCCUUCGGGGACGCAAUGACAGGUGGUGCAUGGUCGUCGUCAGCUCGUGUCGUGAGAUGUUGGGUUAAGUCCCGCAACGAGCGCAACCCUUGUUACUAGUUGCCAGCAUUAAGUUGGGCACUCUAGUGAGACUGCCGGUGACAAACCGGAGGAAGGUGGGGACGACGUCAGAUCAUCAUGCCCCUUAUGACCUGGGCUACACACGUGCUACAAUGGACGGUACAACGAGUCGCAAGCUCGCGAGAGUAAGCUAAUCUCUUAAAGCCGUUCUCAGUUCGGACUGUAGGCUGCAACUCGCCUACACGAAGUCGGAAUCGCUAGUAAUCGCGGAUCAGCAUGCCGCGGUGAAUACGUUCCCGGGCCUUGUACACACCGCCCGUCACACCAUGGGAGUUUGUAACGCCCAAAGUCGGUGGCCUAACCUUUA